AUUGACUGCAGAACAUUUCUUGGCAAAUUCUUAAAAAUUGCUACAUUUUCAAUCAAUCGUCGACAAGACUGAAGCGCAAUCUCUUCACUUAAAUCCGACAAAAUCCGUUUACUUCGAAACUUUGAUAUGAAGGAACAUAACUGCAGAAAGACACAACCACAUGUUUGACAUCCAAAAGAAAUGCCUGACAAUGCAUGACUUUCGAUAUAAAGAUGUUUAUUAUUCAAUAUCUUACUCAACAUAUAACAAACGAUGAAUCUGCCGAUAAUCAUAAGAAUGCUAUUGAAAAGGAUGGGGCCAUCCGUCUCCGGUAUAAAAAUAGGUAUGGAAAUGAGAUUCGCAUAAAGAUCAGUACGUCAGUAAGAUCAAGCAUAUGCUUACUGUUGGUGGAAUGUUGACAA